GGGAAGGUGGCUCAGUGGUAGAGCGCUUGCCUUGUAUGCAGAAGGCCCUGGAUUCCAUUCCU
rnacentral:tRNA from 1 species